GGUCUCACAACUACCUUUAUGAAGUAAAAAAAAGAGAUGACAAUUAUAAUUGACUUUUUACAUACAAAACCCCAACUCUCAGAAAAAGUAUGACAGAGUUUGGACUUGAACCCAGAUCUUCCAAUUCCAAAUUCGUGCUUCACUCACUAUACUACCCUGUCUUCAUGUGUUUUGGGAAACUCUAUGUAUACCAGGAAUCCUAAGGAGAAAAAUAUGUUAUUCUGUCUUUGAAACAUUGGAGAAUAACUCAUAGAGGUUUUGGGGUACAUGUGAACCUACGCAACAAUCUUGCAUUUUCUUUCUUAAUUUUUAAAAGUGCUGUGUUGAAACAAGGUGGGAUUCAAAAGUGCCUGCUGUGUGAAAAAGGCACCAUUAUGAAGAAACUCUCCUCAGAUUACUCGGUCAGAAACAAUCAAAAAGAACUGGGAUUGAGUACCACCUUUCACCAUUGUUGCACCACCACAGCAAAUUAAAUGCAUUCAGGUUGACUUCAUGGAAGACCCAGGGAGUCUGGAAAGAAUAUCAAGCCAUUCAGACUUUGCUGAACAGGAAAAUCUAUGUUAAAUACAAAACUGAAAAACAAGUUUCUUCAUCAUGUCUUUCUGACCUGUAGUUGACUCACCCUUUUCUUCAAUGAAUCUAAAAUGCAGGGAAAUUGCCUGAAGGGCAGUGUUUGAAUACUGUGCUGUGUGUGUCUCUUUAUAUGCUUA
ensembl:lincRNA